GACGAACGCUGGCGGCGUGCUUAACACAUGCAAGUCGAACGAGCGGCGGACGGGUGAGUAAUGUAUGGGGACUGCCCGCUAGAGGGGGAUAACUACUGGAAACGGUAGCUAAUACCGCAUACUAUCGGAUAACCCAUAUGGGAUUAGCUAGUAGGUGAGGUAAUGGCUCACCUAGGCGACGAUCACUAGCUGGUCUGAGAGGAUGAUCAGCCACACUGGGACGUAGACAAGGCCCAGACUCCGACGGAGGCAGCAGUGGGGAACAUGGAACAAUGGGCGCAAGCCUGAUGCAGCCAUGCAGCGUGUAUGAAGAAGGCCCUAGGGUUGUAAAGUACUUUCAGUCGGGAGGCGGUACCGACAGAAGAAGCACCGGCUAACUCCGUGCCAGCAGCCGCGGUAAUAC
rnacentral:rRNA from 1 species